rnacentral:rRNA from 1 species
GGGGAAUAUUGCACAAUGGGCGCAAGCCUGAUGCAGCAACGCCGCGUGAGGGACGACGGCCUUCGGGUUGUAAACCUCUUUUAGUAGGGAAGAAGCGAAAGUGACGGUACCUGCAGAAAAAGCACCGGCUAACUACGUGCCAGCAGCCGCGGUAAUACGUAGGGUGCAAGCGUUGUCCGGAAUUAUUGGGCGUAAAGAGCUCGUAGGCGGUUUGUCACGUCUGCUGUGAAAACCCGAGGCUCAACCGCGGGCCUGCAGUGGGCACGGGCAGACUAGAGUGCGGUAGGGGAGAUUGGAAUUCCUGGUGUAGCGGUGGAAUGCGCAGAUAUCAGGAGGAACACCGAUGGCGAAGGCAGAUCUCUGGGCCGUAACUGACGCUGAGGAGCGAAAGCAUGGGGAGCGAAC